AAGCGGUGGAGCAUGUGGUUUAAUUCGAAGCAACGCGAAGAACCUUACCAGGUCUUGACAUCCCUGACAACCGAGAGAUCGGGCGUUCCCCUUCGGGGGACAGGGUGACAGGUGGUGCAUGGUUGUCGUCAGCUCGUGUCGUGAGAUGUUGGGUUAAGUCCCGCAACGAGCGCAACCCUCGACCUUAGUUGCCAGCAUUCAGUUGGGCACUCUAAGGUGGCUGCCGGCUAAAAGUCGGAGGAAGGUGGGAUGACGUCAAAUCAUCAUACCCCUUAUGACCUGGGCUACACACGUGCUACAAUGGGCGGUACAAAGGGUCGCGAACCCGCGAGGGGGAGCCAAUCCCAAAAAGCCGCUCUCAGUUCGGAUUGCAGGCUGCAACUCGCCUACAUGAAGUCGGAAUCGCUAGUAAUCGCGGAUCAGCACGCCGCGGUGAAUACGUUCCCGGGCCUU
rnacentral:rRNA from 1 species